rnacentral:tRNA from 1 species
UGCUCCAUAGUGUAGUGAUUAGCACAUCUGCUUUACACGUAGAAGAUUCUGGGUUCACGCCCGAGGUGGAGCUA